UCGGGAAUUUUGCUCAAUGGGCGAAAGCCUGAAGCAGCAACGCCGCGUGAGGGAUGAAGGCCUUCGGGUUGUAAACCUCUUUUCUCAGGGACAAUGAUGACGGUACCUGAGGAAUAAGCCACGGCUAACUACGUGCCAGCAGCCGCGGUAAUACGUAGGUGGCAAGCGUUGUCCGGAUUUACUGGGCGUAAAGAGCGCGCAGGCGGCCGAGUAAGUCGAAUGUGAAAGCCCCCGGCUCAACUGGGGAAGGUCAUUCGAUACUGUUCGGCUCGAAGGUAGGAGAGGGAAGCGGAAUUUCCGGUGUAGUGGUGAAAUGCGUAGAUAUCGGAAGGAACACCAGUGGCGAAAGCGGCUUUCUGGCCUACUCUUGACGCUGAGGCGCGAAAGCUAGGGGAGCGA
rnacentral:rRNA from 1 species